rnacentral:rRNA from 1 species
GCCUCGCAUGAGGGAGCAGGAAAAGAAAUUCGGUGCAGGAUGAGUCCGCGUCUGAUUAGCUAGUUGGAGGGGUAAAAGCCCACCAAGGCAACGAUCAGUAGCCGGCCUGAGAGGGCGACCGGCCACAUUGGGACUGAGACACGGCCCAAACUCCUACGGGAGGCAGCAGUGGGGAAUAUUGCACAAUGGGGGAAACCCUGAUGCAGCGACGCCGCGUGAGCGAGGAAGUAUUUCGGUAUGUAAAGCUCUAUCAGCAGGGACGAAAAAAGACGGUACCUGACUAAGAAGCCCCGGCUAACUACGUGCCAGCAGCCGCGGUAAUACGUAGGGGGCAAGCGUUAUCCGGAUUUACUGGGUGUAAAGGGAGCGUAGACGGCAAGGCAAGCCAGAAGUGAAAGGGCAGGGCUCAACCCUGUACAUGCUUUUGGAACUGUGGUGCUAGAGUGCAGGAGAGGUAAGUGGAAUUCCUAGUGUAGCGGUGAAAUGCGUAGAUAUUAGGAGGAACACCAGUGGCGAAGGCGGCUUACUGGACUGUAACUGACGUUGAGGCUCGAAAGCGUGGGGAGCAAACAGGAUUAGAUACCCUGGUAGUCCACGCUGUAAACGAUGAAAACGAGGUGUUGGGG